CAGUCGCCACGGGAACACGGAGGGUGCAAGCGUUAAUCGGAAUUACUGGGCGUAAAGCGCACGCAGGCGGUCUGUCAAGUCAGAUGUGAAAUCCCCGGGCUUAACCUGGGAACUGCAUUUGAAACUGGCAGGCUAGAGUCUUGUAGAGGGGGGUAGAAUUCCAGGUGUAGCGGUGAAAUGCGUAGAGAUCUGGAGGAAUACCGGUGGCGAAGGCGGCCCCCUGGACAAAGACUGACGCUCAGGUGCGAAAGCGUGGGGAGCAAACAGGAUUAGAUACCCGAGUAGUCCCUGUCUCUUAUAC
rnacentral:rRNA from 1 species